rnacentral:rRNA from 1 species
AUUUCGAAUUUCGGAUUCGAGGUUUGAGAUUCGGGUGCGGAGCGCCGCCCAGUGGCGCACGGGUGAGUAACGCGUAGGUAACCUGCCCCAGGGAGGGGGACAACUCCGGGAAACCGGGGCUAAUACCCCGUAAGGCCACGCUCUGAAAUGAGCGUGGCAGAAGCCGCAAGGCGCCCUGGGAUGGGCCUGCGUCCUAUCAGGUAGUUGGCGGGGUAAAGGCCCACCAAGCCUAUGACGGGUAGCCGGUCCGAGAGGAUGGACGGCCACACUGGAACUGAGACACGGUCCAGACUCCUACGGGAGGCAGCAGUGGGGAAUUUUGCACAAUGGGGGAAACCCUGAUGCAGCGACGCCGCGUGGAGGACGAAGGCCUUCGGGUUGUAAACUCCUUUUCGGGGGGAAGAACGAUGACGGUACCCCCGGAAUAAGCCACGGCUAACUCUGUGCCAGCAGCCGCGGUAAGACAGAGGUGGCAAGCGUUGUUCGGAAUCACUGGGCUUAAAGGGCGCGCAGGCGGUGUGACAAGUCCGGGGUGCAAUCCCGGGGCCCAACCCCGGAACUGCCCUGGAUACUGUCGCACUUGAGUCAGUGAGGGGAGGGCGGAAUUCCCGGUGUAGCAGUGAAAUGCGUAGAUAUCGGGAGGAAGGCCGGUGGCGAAGGCGGCCCUCUGGCGCUUGACUGACGCUGAGGCGCGAAAGCGUGGGGAGCGAACAGGAUUAGAUACCCUGGUAGUCCACGCCCUAAACGGUGGGCAUUAGGUGUAGGGCUCGCAAGGGUUCUGUGCCGAAGGGAAACCAUUAAAUGCCCCGCCUGGGGGAGUACGGCCGCAAGGUUGAAACUCAAAAGGAAUUGAC